GACGAACGCUGGCGGCGUGCUUAACACAUGCAAGUCGAACGGAAAGGCCUGCUUUCCCUUGUGGAUUGCGGGUACUCGAGUGGCGAACGGGUGAGUAACACGUGAGUGAUCUGCCCCCAACUUGGGUAUAAGCCUGGGAAACUGGGUCUAAUUCCCGAUAGGACUGCAGGGUGGUGCCUGUGGUGGAAAACGAUUUUCUAGUGGUUGGGGAUGAGCUCGCGGCCUAUCAGCUUGUUGGUGGGGUAAUGGCCUACCAAGGCGGCGACGGGUAGCCGGCCUGGGAGGGUGGACGGCCACAUUGGGACUGAGAUACGGCCCAGACUCCGACGGGAGGCAGCAGUGGGGAAUAUUGCACAAUGGGCGGAAGCCUGAUGCAGCGACGCCGCGUGGGGGAUGACGGCCUUCGGGUUGUAACUCCUUUCGACCGCGAGGAAGCCACCUGGUUGGAAGGGUGGUGACGGUAGUGGUAGAAGAAGCACCGGCUAACUACGUG
rnacentral:rRNA from 1 species